GCUUUCUUUAUGUUCUUUUCUUUCAUGCUUUGCAGCACAGCAGAUGGAAGAAAAGUCUCUAAUCCCCAUUCUUUUUCUAUAUAUUUGAGGGAGAUUUUCUGAGUUUGCUUGGUGGUCACAGUUGCAAUAUACAUCUGUAGUGCAGCCAACCGUAGGGCAAUGUCGUAUUUCAGUUCUGGUCCAAAUCUUUCCUGAACCACAUCAUUACAGCUCUGUACAUAAAGAUAUUCAAAAGCAACUGGAUCUCUUCUUAAAAGAUCAAUGGGAUCCUUUGGGACAAAGCUAAUCCUGAAAAGACAUCUCAUCUUAUGCGAGCUUGGCCUCUGAGUCACCUGAGUUAGAGUCUCCUGUUCAUGUAGUAAAAGAAGUUUCGUUCCAG
rnacentral:lncRNA from 1 species